UUCUUCGGAUUCGGUUUUUUUGCCCAGCCCUAGAUCUAUUCAUUUGGUACAUGGGUUUACUUUGAUGUCAAAACCGAAUCUUGUGACGUAGUAGGGAGGAAAGACCUUCUUGCAUUAUAACCAAAGGCUCCACAUCUUUCACAAGCAUUUGGGAUUCAAGAAUAUUCAACAUCUACCAAACCGAUAUUGUCUUGCUUGUAAAGAAGAGCAAUUAGUUUCAGAAAAUGGUUUAUCUAGCUCAGCUUCAACUAAUAUUUUAGAUUUUUUUUUCAUAUUUGUUGAAUCCAAGCGAUGCUUAUGUGUAAGCAUUGGCCCUCCUAACCUGGAUGUUAAUUAUAUGACUAAUGCAUAAUCUUGAGAAAUAUGAAUAUGGGAUGUUCUUAAGAUUAAUCCACAUUGGUAAGGUAGAAAUCUCAUAAAUUUUGAAAGAGUUUAUAGAGCUUUAAGGGGCGCCGAGAGUGCCGGUCCUGAGAUAUUAAGGGUCCAAUACUAAAUACAAAACCGAGGCCCUUACAUAAAAAGUUUCUCGAUAAAAAAUCAAUUUUACAAUAAAAAAUUUACAACAUCUUCAAAACUAUUAAAAUUUGAUCUUUUUGUAAAAUAACACAUCUUAAUUUUUUUCUAAAAAUUAUCUAUCAAAUUUUUAGAAUCAAGGUUUUUCUGAUCAUAUUUUUCUUAGUUGAUAACAUAGCCAAACCAUUAAAUAUUUAUUGUAAUAUAGUUAAUCGUGAGUAAUACUUUUACAAUUGCAGUUUUGAGAAGCUUCUUUCGGUUGGAGCAUCUGAAACCGGGAUUGUAAACAUUAUAUUAUAGACAAUCUAUAUAUUUUAAUAACUAUUUUUAAAUUUUUGUCUUGUAACUCGUAAGAGGAGGUAGUAGAAAAAGAGUGAAACACAAUUUCCUAUGAAAAAAGAAUAAUUUAGCCUGAAAAAUAAUUAUUCUUAAUUAGUUAUGUUAUUUUUUUACCCAAACAAAUUCAGCCAUGUUCUUUUUAAUCCAUUCAUAUUAAAUAACAUAAAAGGAUAUGUACGAUUUAAUUGUGUUUGUGUAUAAAAAUUGUCUCGUCACUUUUUUUUUAAUUUUCCACAAUACACAUUGAUCCAUUUAAUUAAUAACAAUAGAAAAAGUUGACCUUGUUUUUUUUUGAUAAAUCAUGGGCCCCAUAUGAUUGUUUCACGUGUAUGGGGUCAAGCCCGGGCGUGGCCGAGACAAUAUCAAUAUACCACACUCCCCAAUGAAUAACCCAUUUGCGAGUGUUUAUGAGGAAUAUGGAACAAGAAGAAAGAGACACUUAGCUUAAGACAAAUUCUCUUAUAUUACUGGCCCCAUAACUUAAUCAAUACAAUAUGAAUGAGUCAUCCAGGCGGGAUCGCCAAAAUGUAUUCUUCCUUAUUCUCGGAGCCCGUUCUUGGAUUUUUCACCUAAGGCGUACCCUCGAGUCGGUAAUUCCAUUCAGCAGCCUGGAAAAAGUUUUUCGUUGCCCAUCAAAACCAAAGACUACCACCUGCUUUGAGAGUCAAAGGUGGAAAUUCUCAACCGGAAGUUGCGGAAUAACUUUCCCAGAAGCAUCAUCUGCUCGUUCUUUUGUUUCUGACCAUUGAAAGUAGCUUCACCAAUUGAAGGCCAAAACGAAGCUAUAUAGCUUUUAAGCCUCUGAGAUACUGAACCUUGGAGUUGCAGGUUCAGGAGGUAUUGUGGAGGCCUGAAAUGGAGGGACUCCGAUCAUGCUCCCAACAAACAGACAAAAGCGGUUUGAUGUACUUAGGUGACUGGAGGCAUUUGGAAAAGGAAAACAAGCAAAACAGAGAUUUUGGAGUCUGGAAUCUCGUAUAGGCCAAGACUAGCGGCCUAUACACAAGCCAUUAUGAAUGUGGUCUGUAGUGGUGUGCCUAGCGGCAUAUACUCAGGCUGCUACAGAAAUACAAAAUGCUCGUACAAAAACUAGGGGGGGAAUAGUAUCCUGCACCUAGCGGCCAAAGCCCAACCGCUAUGGCGACUCAGAAGUGAAGACCAAAUUAGACAUGGGGCAUAGCGGCCUAUACGCAUGACACUACAAAAGGAAGCUGUAGCGACCAAUACCCAUGCCGCUACGUUGCAAAUCAGCAGUUGGCCAGUUUACUCAUAUUUAUAUGGGUUAAUCCAGGGUUUUUGGAUCAACCCAUCUUGUUUUAAGACCUAUAAAAAGCAUUUUAGAGAAAUGAAAACUCGAAGCUACCUAGGCAUAAAUCUAUCUUAGUUUUUUUUUAUUUCUUAUGUAGAUAAACUUGGAUGUUUGUGAAUCUUGAUUGUGUUAAAGGAUUUAUUUUGUUAA